UCAGUUCUUGUUAAAAAAUUUGCUUUUGUCCAAAUUGAUUUAUCCAUGAAUGAACCUGUAGUUUUCAUUUUUAUUGGAUGGAUGAAGUCGUCAAUUGUUUAAAGUUUCUUGUGCUUGUUUUUGUCAACCAAAAUGGAGUAAUUGGAAUGCUGUAGAAACUAAUGCAAGGAUAAUGUUAGCUUAAUUAACAUCCUGUCUUUGCUGUGUCUGAACUUGUCUGUGAUUUCUAAUAUGAUGGCUUAUAUAGUUAUAUCUUGUUAUAGGUGGGAAACUUACCUACCAGACUGCCAAGAAGAGGGCGAAAGGACCAAGGUGCCCUGUGACUGGAAAGAGAAUCCAAGGGGUGGGAUAACGACAUUGAUUGAUAUGCCCCCUCAACAGAUAUCUUUCCACAGUGUCUGUAGAACACUAAAACUCAAGGUUAAUUGCUGAUACAUGUUAUGUUGGAAUUGGCUACACAGGUUACUUGCUGAUACACAGUUUGUAUUUAACAUAUUGAGUAUGGAGAAGUGAAGGUUUGGAGCCAUUUGGCUUAAUUUCAAAAAAUAGAAGAAUUGAAUCUGUUUUUCUGCAGGGUGUUUCUGUGUUUCAUCGUAAAUUAUGUGCAUGAAUUGACUGAAAUAGAAAAAUCUUUGAUGUGGUUUUAUUCUCAUGCAUUUCAGAGUCUGGUCAGUGAAGUUUGCAUUGUGAAAAGCGCUACAUCUCAGAUGCUUCCAUGUGAGAAAAAAGGUUUGUACAUGUGAGUUCCGCUGGAGUUACUCGACCUGGUAGGCCUGGCCUAGAUUUGAGCAAACAACCUCCUGCAGUGCGCUUGAACAAGGAGUUAGGCUUUAUCCUCACAUACAAACUGAAGGGGGAGGAUUUGAUAAGGGAAAGUGGUAUUCCUUACACCAUAGUCAGGCCUUGUGCGCUGAGUGAAGAGCCAGCGGGAGCUGAUCUCAUAUUUGAUCAGGGGGACAAUAUAACGGGGAAAAUAUCAAGGGAAGAGGUUGCACGAAUAUGUAUUGCAGCCCUGGGAAGCCCAUAUGCAUGCAAUAAAACCUUUGAGGUUAAAAGUACCAUUCCAUUUAGUGAACCCUUCACAGUGGACCCUUCGAACCCUCCUCCCGAAAAGGAUUAUGAUGUUUACUUCAAUACCCUAAAAGAAGGAAUAACAGGAAAAGAAGCCUUGGAAGGGAACCUAGUACCAGUUUGAAUUUAUAGUAGCUUCAAUUAUGUUGGUUAUUAAUUAUGUCAUCGAGGCAAUUCAAGCAGUCUUCAUGUGUGAUGUAAAGAUUUGCAUUCUUCUCACAAGGCUCCGUAUAUAAUACAACCAAUAUGUGCGACUUGUGAAGCAAUACUUAAGAUGAGCAUGAUCUUCUGCCAAGAGAGCCAUAUGAGUAGCCAGUUUGCUCAAAGCUGCAGAAUUCGCUUUCCCUAAUUUUAGUCAAUGAGUCAUGCAGCAGUGCGUUCUGGCUUUGUAGGUAUCAAUCGAUUAUCAGACUUUCACUUCGGUCCAGUGUAUUGUAUUGUUGUAUAGCAGCAACUUUUACUUCAUAUUCAUGGGAGUAUAAAUUUAUUUACAACAUCGAAUCGAUUGGUUCAUGAAAUUGCGCUCA